rnacentral:rRNA from 1 species
CAGUCGCCGCGGUAAAACGUAGGUGGCAAGCGUUGUCCGGAAUUAUUGGGCGUAAAGGGCUCGCAGGCGGUUUCUUAAGUCUGAUGUGAAGGCCCCCGGCUCAACCGGGGAGGGUCAUUGGAAACUGGGAAACUUGAGUGCAGAAGAGGAGAGUGGAAUUCCACGUGUAGCGGUGAAAUGCGUAGAGAUGUGGAGGAACACCAGUGGCGAAGGCGACUCUCUGGUCUGUAACUGACGCUGAGGAGCGAAAGCGUGGGGAGCGAACAGGAUUAGAUACCCCAGUAGUCCCUGUCUCUUAUAC